ensembl:lncRNA
GUAGCCAUGUCUUUGCCAGGCAGAAGGCGCAUGUGUUCCUGAACGGCGUCGGUCAACUAUAGGGAUUCACCUGUAGGUAUCCUUACUCAGAGGGGGGUACAGAGAACAAACGUGGACUGUGUUCUUCUAAGGAGAGAACUCUGAGUGAUUUGGUCAGGGGACAUGUGGGUUAGUGAGAACGGCAGAGGGCCUGAGUUCUGCUUGGGGAACCGACUGGACAGAAGGCAGCGGAACCCUCCACUCAGGAAUCUCCACCGGCCCAGAUGUCCCAUCAACGCCGCCAGCUGGCCGCGUGGCUCUGGCUCAGUCCUCCGCCAGGAGAAGGCACCUUGUUAUCUGUCCUUUGUCAGUAAGGCCAUCCUGUGGGACCGGGCAUUCAACCAGUGGACAGGCUUGCAUCUCCAUCGGGGAGCUGUUGACCACAAACAGGCCUGUAAUGAUAUUAGGCAGGACUGGCUCUGGG